rnacentral:rRNA from 1 species
UACGUAGGGGGGCUAGCGUUGUCCGGAAUCAUUGGGCGUAAAGAGCGUGUAGGCGGUCCGGUAAGUCCGCUGUGAAAGUCGGGGGGCUCAACCCUCGAUGCCGGUGGAUACUGUCGGGCUAGAGUGCGGAAGAGGCGAGUGGAAUUCCUGGUGUAGCGGUGAAAUGCGCAGAUAUCAGGAGGAACACCAUUAGUCGAAGGCAGCUCGCUGGGACGUGAACUGACGCUGAGACGCGAAAGCGUGGGGGAGCAAACAGG